AUUGGCUGCAUAGGUGAAAAUCAGUUGAACUGCAUACUUAUCAUUUGUGUACUUUUCUGUAAGUCCAUUUCAGUAAAACAAAAAAAAAGGAAAAAAAAUGUGACUCAUGCAGUCUGAAAAACAGUGGGCAUUGCUAAUUGUUGUUAGGACUAAAAUCUCCCUUUGUUGACAACCACUGGGUUAGACAAAAUAACUCAAAGAUUUUGUAUCAGGCCUUUCCCACCAGAAAAUCUUCCUUGGCCACAAACUUUAAGUCUUAGGAUUCUAAAUGUACAACUUUGGGCCACUUUGUGGUCUAAUAUUGAACAAUGUGGCUGUACCUGUUGAUCUUAACCACUAUGAAGGGAAGGAUCAAGAAGAGACUUCCGAGAACUAAAAAUUAUUGUGUAUAAGUCAACAGGAGAGGGAAGAGAAAAAUUAGCCACCAUAAGGCAAGAGUAGGAUGGGGGAAAGCAGUUCCAGUGAUGUGGGUCAUGCUCCACAGGGAUGAGGGCUCAUAGGUAAGAAGAAAGCACAUUCAGAAUGUCACCUAGUAUAACUUAGUCCAAUGGACUAAUGCCAGAGUUGAAUAGUAAGAUCUUCCCCAUAUUUAAACCAAAAAAGCCACUGCCCCUCUGGCCAAGUGUGAAGUCUUACUGCAUACCGGCUGUGGCAGAUCUUAUUUUCCAAAGAUGGUCACGACAAUGUCUCUCAUCCCACCAACUCUUCUGCAAUGUGACCUUGCCAUGCCCUUCAUAAGGAGGUGAGGUUUCUUUCUCCAUCUCCUUGAAUCUGGGUGGCCAUGUCUGACAAAUGCAACAUGGCAGAAGUGACGCAGGGCC
rnacentral:lncRNA from 1 species